rnacentral:tRNA from 1 species
GUCUCAGAUAGCUCAACUGGAAAAGCCCUUGGUGCUUAACUAGAAUGAUCUGGGUUCGAUUCCCGGUUUGGGCU